rnacentral:rRNA from 1 species
GACAGCAGCAGCCGCGGUAAUACCGAGGGUGCGAGCGUUAAUCGGAUUUACUGGGCGUAAAGCGUGCGUAGGCGGCUUCUUAAGUCGGAUGUGAAAUCCCUGAGCUUAACUUAGGAAUUGCAUUCGAUACUGGGAAGCUAGAGUAUGGGAGAGGAUGGUAGAAUUCCAGGUGUAGCGGUGAAAUGCGUAGAGAUCUGGAGGAAUACCGAUGGCGAAGGCAGCCAUCUGGCCUAAUACUGACGCUGAGGUACGAAAGCAUGGGGAGCAAACAGGAUUAGAUACCCGUGUAGUCCCUGUCUCUUAUAC